UUUUUUUAAAUAUUAUUAUUAAUUUUGGGGUUGAGUUUAAUAUUUUAAUUAUGAUUUGGUUAUAUUUUCAUUUUAAUUAAUUUUUUUUAAUAAUAGUUUAUUAGUACUGUGAGGGAAUAUUUAUACUGGAAAUUUAAGGAUAAUUGAUUUUUUGUACCUUUUGUAUCAGGGUUGAUUUAUUAUUUUUAUUUAUUUAUUAUUCCCGAAUUUUAUGGAGUUAAUUAUAUGUUUGUUUUAAAGUUGAAUAUUUAUUCUUGACAUAUUAUUGGUAAUGAAACGUUAUUCGUCUUAGAUAUAUCUGGUUUUUGCUUUUGAAAUUUAAUUUCUUUUUAUUUGAUUGGUUUUUAAUUUGAAAAUUUUUCUAUGGAUAAAAUAUAAUUAUGGUGGGAUAAGCUUCUAUAGUGGUUUAUAAGAAUUUAGUUUAUAUAGAUUUUUGGGAUUUAGGAUUUCUUUAUAUAGUAUGUUAAAAUUAAUUUAUGGGUUUUUAGAUUUUUUUUUCUUUAUUUUUUUUGUAAAAUUUAUCUUAAAUUAUAUAUUUUAAUAUAUAAUGAUUGAAUUAGUAAUUAGUUUUUAAGGUUAUUUUUUAUAGUUAUUUUAGUCUAAGGAACUCGGCAAUUAUGUUUUCGCCUGUUUAUUAAAAACAUGGCUUUUUGAUAAUAAUUUAAGGUCGGACCUGCCCAAUGAUUUUUUUAAUGGCCGCGGUAUUUUGACCGUGCAAAGGUAGCAUAAUAAUUUGUCUCUUAAUUUGGGACUGGAAUGAAAGGUUUGACGAGAAAUGUUCUGUCUCAGGCUUAUAGUAUGAAUUUUAUUUUUGAGUGAAAAAGCUUAAAUUUUUUUAAUAGACGAGAAGACCCUAUAGAGUUUUACUUUUUUUUUAUUUAUAUAGGUUUAAAAGUUUUGUUGGGGUGAUUGGAAAAUUUAUUAAACUUUUCUUAAAUUUAUAUACUUAUUGGUAGUUUAUUGAUCCAUUUUUAAUGAUUAAAAGAUUAAAUUACCUUAGGGAUAACAGCGUAAUUUUUCAUGAUAGUUCAAAUUGAUUGAAGAGAUUACGACCUCGAUGUUGGAUUAAAAUUUAUUUGAAGUGUAGGGGCUUCUGGAUUGGGUCUGUUCGACCUUUAAAAUUUUACAUGAUCUGAGUUUAGACCGGCGUGAGCCAGGUUGGUUUCUAUCUUUAAUUAUUUUAUAUUUAUUAGUACGAGAGGACCAUAAGUAAUUAAUAUUUAAUUUUUCUGGGUUUUGUUAA
rnacentral:rRNA from 1 species